CCUUCCGUAGGUGAACCUGCGGAAGGAUCAUUACCUAGAGUUGUAAGCUUUGCCUGCUAUCUCUUACCCAUGUCUUUUAAGUACCUUACGUUUCCUCGGCGGGUCCGCCCGCCGAUUGGACAAUUUAAACCAUUUGCAGUUGCAAUCAGCGUCUGAAAAAACUUAAUAGUUACAACUUUCAACAACGGAUCUCUUGGUUCUGGCAUCGAUGAAGAACGCAGCGAAAUGCGAUAAGUAGUGUGAAUUGCAGAAUUCAGUGAAUCAUCGAAUCUUUGAACGCACAUUGCGCCCCUUGGUAUUCCAUGGGGCAUGCCUGUUCGAGCGUCAUUUGUACCUUCAAGCUCUGCUUGGUGUUGGGUGUUUGUCUCGCCUCUGCGUGUAGACUCGCCUCAAAACAAUUGGCAGCCGGCGUAUUGAUUUCGGAGCGCAGUACAUCUCGCGCUUUGCACUCAUAACGACGACGUCCAAAAGUACAUUUUUACACUCUUGACAUCGGAUCAGGUAGGGAUACCCGCUGAACUUAAGCAUAUCAAUAGCCGGGAGGAAGACU
rnacentral:rRNA from 1 species